rnacentral:rRNA from 1 species
UACGUAGGGGCGAGCGUUGUCCGGAAUUAUUGGGCGUAAAGAGCUUGUAGGCGGUUUGUCGCGUCUGCUGUGAAAAUCCGGGGCUCAACCCCGGACUUGCAGUGGGUACGGGCAGACUAGAGUGUGGUAGGGGAGACUGGAAUUCCUGGUGUAGCGGUGAAAUGCGCAGAUAUCAGGAGGAACACCGAUGGCGAAGGCAGGUCUCUGGGCCACUACUGACGCUGAGAAGCGAAAGCAUGGGGAGCGAACAGGAUUAGAUACCCU